UAAGGAGUAGCAUAAUGGGAGUGCAGAGGGUUUUGAUCUCUCAAGUGUAGGUUCGAUUCCUAUCUCUUUAA
rnacentral:tRNA from 1 species